rnacentral:rRNA from 1 species
UUAAGUGAAUAAGGGCGCACGGUGGAUGCCUUGGCACUAGGAGCCGAUGAAGGACGGGACUAACACCGAUAUGCUUUGGGGAGCUGUACGUAAGCUAUGAUCCAGAGAUUUCCGAAUGGGGGAACCCAACAUCUUUAAUAGGAUGUUACGAUUGUGUGAAUACAUAGCACAUUCGAGGUAGACGCAGAGAACUGAAACAUCUAAGUACCUGCAGGAAGAGAAAGAAAAUUCGAUUCCCUGAGUAGCGGCGAGCGAAACGGGAAAAGCCCAAACCAGCAAGCUUGCUUGUUGGGGUUGUAGGACUCCAAUAUGGUAGUUCUUUCAGAUAGUCGAAUGACUUGGAAAAGUCAGUCAAAGAGGGUAAAAACCCCGUAGACGAAAUGUGGAAGACACCUAGGAGGAUCCUGAGUACGGCGGAACACGAGAAAUUCCGUCGGAAUCCGGGAGGACCAUCUCCCAAGGCUAAAUACUCCCUAGUGACCGAUAGUGAACCAGUACCGUGAGGGAAAGGUGAAAAGCACCCCGGAAGGGGAGUGAAAUAGAACCUGAAACCGUGUGCCUACAACAAGUCAAAGCCCGUUAAUGGGUGAUGGCGUGCCUUUUGUAGAAUGAACCGGCGAGUUACGAUUGCAUGCGAGGUUAAGUUGAAGAGACGGAGCCGCAGCGAAAGCGAGUCUGAAUAGGGCGUUUGAGUAUGUAGUCGUAGACCCGAAACCAUGUGAUCUACCCAUGUCCAGGUUGAAGGUGCGGUAAAACGCACUGGAGGACCGAACCCACGUACGUUGAAAAGUGCGGGGAUGAGGUGUGGGUAGCGGAGAAAUUCCAAACGAACUUGGAGAUAGCUGGUUCUCUCCGAAAUAGCUUUAGGGCUAGCCUCGGAAUUGAGAAUGAUGGAGGUAGAGCACUGUUUGGACUAGGGGCCCAUCUCGGGUUACCGAAUUCAGAUAAACUCCGAAUGCCAUUCAUUCAUAUCCGGGAGUCAGACUGUGAGUGAUAAGAUCCAUAGUCGAAAGGGAAACAGCCCAGACCACCAGCUAAGGUCCCAAAAUAUAUGUUAAGUGGAAAAGGAUGUGGGGUUGCACAGACAACUAGGAUGUUGGCUUAGAAGCAGCCAUCAUUUAAAGAGUGCGUAAUAGCUCACUAGUCGAGUGACCCUGCGCCGAAAAUGUACCGGGGCUAAACAUAUUACCGAAGCUGUGGAGUACACCUUUAGGUGUAUUGGUAGGAGAGCGUUCUAAGGGCGUUGAAGGCAGAUCGUGAGGACUGCUGGAGCGCUUAGAAGUGAGAAUGCCGGUAUGAGUAGCGAAAGACAGGUGAGAAUCCUGUCCACCGAAUGACUAAGGUUUCCUGGGGAAGGCUCGUCCGCCCAGGGUUAGUCGGGACCUAAGCCGAGGCCGACAGGCGUAGGCGAUGGAUAACAGGUUGAUAUUCCUGUACCCGUUGUUUUUGUUUGAGCAAUGGAGGGACGCAGGAGGCUAAGGAAUGCAGACGAUCGGAAAUGUCUGUCCAAGCAGUAAGUCUGAAGAGGAGUCAAAUGCUUCUUUUCUUAAGGACAAGCUGUGAUGGGGAGGGAAAUAAUAGUACCGAAGUUCCUGAUGUCACACUGCCGAGAAAAGCUUCUAGUGAGAAAACAGCGGCCCGUACCGCAAACCGACACAGGUAGUCGAGGAGAGAAUCCUAAGGUGAGCGAGAGAACUCUCGUUAAGGAACUCGGCAAAAUGACCCCGUAACUUCGGGAGAAGGGGUGCUGAUCAUACGAUCAGCCGCAGUGAAUAGGCCCAAGCGACUGUUUAUCAAAAACACAGGUUUCUGCAAAAUCGUAAGAUGAAGUAUAGGGGCUGACGCCUGCCCGGUGCUGGAAGGUUAAGAGGAGUGCUUAGCGCAAGCGAAGGUACGAAUUGAAGCCCCAGUAAACGGCGGCCGUAACUAUAACGGUCCUAAGGUAGCGAAAUUCCUUGUCGGGUAAGUUCCGACCCGCACGAAAGGCGUAACGAUUUGGGCACUGUCUCAACGAGAGACUCGGUGAAAUUUUAGUACCUGUGAAGAUGCAGGUUACCCGCGACAGGACGGAAAGACCCCAUGGAGCUUUACUGUAGUUUGAUAUUGAGUGUCUGUACCGCAUGUACAGGAUAGGUAGGAGCCGUAGAAAUCGGAACGCUAGUUUCGAUGGAGGCGCUGGUGGGAUACUACCCCUGCGUUAUGGCCACUCUAACCCGCACCACUAAUCGUGGUGGGAGACAGUGUCAGAUGGGCAGUUUGACUGGGGCGGUCGCCUCCUAAAAGGUAACGGAGGCGCCCAAAGGUUCCCUCAGAAUGGUUGGAAAUCAUUCGAAGAGUGUAAAGGCAGAAGGGAGCUUGACUGCGAGACCAACAAGUCGAGCAGGGACGAAAGUCGGGCUUAGUGAUCCGGUGGUUCCGCAUGGAAGGGCCAUCGCUCAACGGAUAAAAGCUACCCUGGGGAUAACAGGCUUAUCUCCCCCAAGAGUCCACAUCGACGGGGAGGUUUGGCACCUCGAUGUCGGCUCGUCGCAUCCUGGGGCUGUAGUCGGUCCCAAGGGUUGGGCUGUUCGCCCAUUAAAGCGGCACGCGAGCUGGGUUCAGAACGUCGUGAGACAGUUCGGUCCCUAUCCGUCGCGGGCGUUGGAAAUUUGAGAGGAGCUGUCCUUAGUACGAGAGGACCGGGAUGGACUUACCGCUGGUGUACCAGUUGUU